rnacentral:rRNA from 1 species
GACGAACGCUGGCGGCGUGCUUAACACAUGCAAGUCGAACGGAAAGGCCCUGCUUUUGUGGGGUGCUCGAGUGGCGAACGGGUGAGUAACACGUGAGUAACCUGCCCUUGACUUUGGGAUAACUUCAGGAAACUGGGGCUAAUACCGGAUAGGAGCUCCUGCUGCAUGGUGGGGGUUGGAAAGUUUCGGCGGUUGGGGAUGGACUCGCGGCUUAUCAGCUUGUUGGUGGGGUAGUGGCUUACCAAGGCUUUGACGGGUAGCCGGCCUGAGAGGGUGACCGGCCACAUUGGGACUGAGAUACGGCGCAGACUCCUACGGGAGGCAGCAGUGGGGAAUAUGGCGCAAUGGGCGGAAGCCUGAUGCAGCAACGCCGCGUGCGGGAUGACGGCCUUCGGGUUGUAAACCGCUUUCGCCUGUGACGAAGCGUGAGUGACGGUAAUGGGUAAAGAAGCACCGGCUAACUACGUG